CAGGAAGCAGAAAGUAGGGAGGAGAAGGAAGACCUCAAGAAACAGGCAAACAUCGCAAUUUGCCUAUAGGUGUCCAGAUUCCUUUUCCCAGAGAAUGUGUUUUCAGCAUCACCACUAGAAUGAGAGCGCCAUGGGGUCUCACGCUUCUCAACACGAUCAGGUCUUAUUACUUUUGGCCCAAUCUUCUCCAUCGUAGAGAAAGUUCAGGUAGAAGAUGAACCUUGAAGAAAUUUACGGCAUACACUUGAGUUUCAAGAAUGUUGGCAUCCUCGACAAUUCGGUCUCCAAGUGGCCUCCAUAGUAAUGGGAACAGGGACUCUCUCUGACAUGAACUGAUUGGCUUUCUCUUUGAUCACCUCACCCUGAGCGGGGAGCAGCAUUACCCGGCCACAGAGGAAGACAAUGCAGCCACUCCUGAUGAUACCUAACAGACUAGGAUCAGAAGGAAGGAAAAGGAACCCUCCCCUACCAGUGGAUUGGGGAGGGGCAUGCGUGGAGAAGGGGGAGGAAGAGAGGGAUUGGAAGGGGAGGAGGGAGGAAACUAG